UAGCCGUAAACGAUACUCGCUAGGUGUCGGCCACGGUGCGACCGUUGUCGGUGCCGUAGGGAAGCCGUGAAGCGAGCCACCUGGGAAGUACGGCCGCAAGGACUGAAACUUAAAGGAAUUGGCGGGGGAGCACAACAACGGGUGGAGCUUGCGGUUUAAUUGGAUUCAACGCCGGAAAUCUUACCGGGACCGACAGCAACAUGAAGGCCAGGCUGAAGACUUUGCCGGAUUAGCUGAGAGGUGGUGCAUGGCGUAGUCGUGU
rnacentral:rRNA from 1 species